CAGCCGCCACGGGAAUACGAAGGGGGCUAGCGUUGCUCGGAAUUACUGGGCGUAAAGGGAGCGUAGGCGGGUCGUUUAGUCAGAGGUGAAAUCCCGGGGCUCAACCUCGGAACUGCCAUUGAUACUGGCGACCUUGAGUAUGGGAGAGGUGAGUGGAACUCCGAGUGUAGAGGUGAAAUUCGUAGAUAUUCGGAAGAACACCAGUGGCGAAAGCGACUCACUGGCCCAUUACUGACGCUGAGGCUCGAAAGCGUGGGGAGCAAACAGGAUUAGAUACCCCUGUAGUCCCUGUCUCUUAUAC
rnacentral:rRNA from 1 species